AAUGGGGGAUAACGUAGCGAAAGUUACGCUAAUACCGCAUAUGCCCUGAGGGGGAAAGGUGGGGAUCGCAAGACCUAUCGUUUUCGGAGUGGCCGAUAUCGGAUUAGCUAGUUGGUGGGGUAAAGGCUCACCAAGGCGACGAUCCGUAGCUGGUCUGAGAGGACGACCAGCCACACUGGGACUGAGACACGGCCCAGACUCCUACGGGAGGCAGCAGUGGGGAAUUUUGGACAAUGGGGGCAACCCUGAUCCAGCCAUGCCGCGUGAGUGAAGAAGGCCUUCGGGUUGUAAAGCUCUUUCGGACGGGAAGAAACGGUUACGGCUAAUACCCGUGACUAAUGACGGUACCGUAAGAAGAAGCACCGGCUAACUACGUGCCAGCAGCCGCGGUAAUACGUAGGGUGCGAGCGUUAAUCGGAAUUACUGGGCGUAAAGCGUGCGCAGGCGGUUUUGUAAGACAGACGUGAAAUCCCCGGGCUUAACCUGGGAACUGCGUUUGUGACUGCAAGGCUAGAGUGCGGCAGAGGGGGGUAGAAUUCCA
rnacentral:rRNA from 1 species